UAGCUAAGCCAUUGCAGCGUCCUCCUGCUCCCACAGCGAUGGAAAAAACCAACAAUGCCGGACAGCCUGCCCCCGAAAAUAUUCAAAAGUUUGCAUAUUCACACUUUCAGGUCACUGCAGCCGUGAUGUCCAAUAGCAGCUGGUUGAAUCCUGAGCAGCUCCAUUCCCACCGGGGCGGAGGAUUUGGAGCUGGGGAAAGAUGUCGGGUGGGUGGACAGACGGAGGGGAGGGGAGGGGAUUUCAAAGUGGGGGAGAUCCUGAGACUUUAUAAGAUGAGGAUAAUUGUGCGAUGCUGUGGGGCUCUAAUUUGUAAAAAAUUAUGAUAUUCCUCCUCAUGUUUCCCCUUCUAAUAAAUCCCAAGCUUUCCUAAAUUA